rnacentral:rRNA from 1 species
CCUCGUACCUUUUGCAUCAUGAUUUAGCUAGUAAGACCUAAGCAAAAAGAAUUUUAGUUUAGUUUCCCGAAACUAAGUGAGCUACUCCAAGACAGCCUAUCAAUAGGGCGCACCCAUCUCUGUGGCAAAAGAGUGGGAAGAGCUUCGAGUAGAGGUGACAGACCUACCGAACUUAGUUAUAGCUGGUUGCCUGAGAAUUGGAUAGAAGUUCAGCCCUCUGCUUUCUUUAGUCAAACGAAAUUACACCCAACCGACCAAAAGAAUGCAAAGGAGUUAGUUGGAGGAGGUACAGCUCCUCUAACACAAGAUACAACUUUACCAGGAGGAUUAAGAUCAUAAUAAAUCAAGGCAUCCGUGUUUUGGUGGGCCUAAAAGCAGCCACCCUAAUAGAAGGCGUUAAAGCUCAGACACGAAAUCCCCCACUAAUCCUGAUAACACCUCUGAAUCCCCUAAUACUACCAGGCCAUCCUAUGCACCCAUAGGACUGAUUAUGCUAAUAUGAGUAAUAAGAAAGAAAAGACUUUCUCCAAGCACAGGUGUACAUCGGAACGAACCCCCACCGAAAAUUAAAGGCCCCAACCACAGAGGGCAUUGAAAACAUUUUAGACCCCAAGGAAAACACUCAACUACUUACCUUUAACCCCACACUGGCGUGCCCAUUAAGGAAAAACUAAAAGAGAAAGAAGGAACUCGGCAAACACAAGCCUCGCCUGUUUACCAAAAACAUCGCCUCUUGCAUUCAAUAUAUAAGAGGUCCUGCCUGCCCUGUGACUCUAAGUUUAACGGCCGCGGUAUCUUAACCGUGCGAAGGUAGCGCAAUCACUUGUCUCUUAAAUGGGGACCCGUAUGAAUGGCAUAACGAGGGCUUAACUGUCUCCUUUCUCAAGUUAAUGAAAUUGACCUCCCCGUGCAGAGGCGGGGAUGAACACAUAAGACGAGAAGACCCUAUGGAGCUUUAGGCACUAAAGCUGAUCAUGUAAAAAACCUCUUAUAAAAGAACAUAACUUUAUGAAAACAGUUUAAUUGCCUUUGGUUGGGGCGACCGCGGGGAAACAAAAAACCCCCAUGUGGACUGGGGCCACUAGGCCCUAAAAAUAAGAGCUCCCGCUCUAAUUAACAGAACUUCUGACCUUACUGAUCCGGCCCUGGCCGAUCAACGAACCGAGUUACCCUAGGGAUAACAGCGCAAUCCCCUUAUAGAGCCCAUAUCGACAAGGGGGUUUACGACCUCGAUGUUGGAUCAGGAUAUCCUAAUGGUGCAGC